GAUGAACGCUGGCGGCGUGCUUAACACAUGCAAGUCGAACGGUGAAGCAGAGCUUGCUCUGUGGAUCAGUGGCGAACGGGUGAGUAACACGUGAGCAAUCUGCCCUUGACUCUGGGAUAAGCGCUGGAAACGGCGUCUAAUACUGGAUACGAGCUGCGAAGGCAUCUUCAGCAGCUGGAAAGAAUUUCGGUCAAGGAUGAGCUCGCGGCCUAUCAGCUUGUUGGUGAGGUAAUGGCUCACCAAGGCGUCGACGGGUAGCCGGCCUGAGAGGGUGACCGGCCACACUGGGACUGAGACACGGCCCAGACUCCUACGGGAGGCAGCAGUGGGGAAUAUUGGACAAUGGGCGAAAGCCUGAUCCAGCAACGCCGCGUGAGGGAUGACGGCCUUCGGGUUGUAAACCUCUUUCAGUAGGGACGAAGCGCAAGUGACGGUACCUGCAGAAGAAGCACCGGCCAACUACGUGCCAGCCGCCGCCGUAAGAC
rnacentral:rRNA from 1 species